rnacentral:rRNA from 1 species
CCUACGGGAGGCAGCAGUGGGGAAUUUUGGACAAUGGGGGCAACCCUGAUCCAGCCAUUCCGCGUGAGUGAAGAAGGCCUUCGGGUUGUAAAGCUCUUUCGCAAGGGAAGAAAACUUAUGAUCGAAUAAAUCAUGAGGUUGACGGUACCUUGAUAAGAAGCACCGGCUAACUACGUGCCAGUAGCCGCGGUAAUACGUAGGGUGCGAGCGUUAAUCGGAAUUACUGGGCGUAAAGCGUGCGCAGGCGGUUUUGUAAGUCGGAUGUGAAAUCCCCGGGCUCAACCUGGGAACUGCGUUCGAAACUGCAAGGCUAGAGUGUGUCAGAGGGGGGUAGAAUUCCACGUGUAGCAGUGAAAUGCGUAGAGAUGUGGAGGAAUACCAAUGGCGAAGGCAGCCCCCUGGGAUAACACUGACGCUCAUGCACGAAAGCGUGGGGAGCAAACAGGAUUAGAUACCCUGGUAGUCCACGCCCUAAACGAUGUCAACUAGUUGUUGGUAGAGUAAAAUCUAUGAGUAACGUAGCUAACGCGUGAAGUUGACCGCCUGGGGAGUACGGUCGCAAGAUUAAAACUCAAAUGAAUUGACGG